UACGAAGGGGGCUAGCGUUGUUCGGAAUUACUGGGCGUAAAGCGCACGUAGGCGGAUUUGUAAGUAGGGGGUGAAAUCCCCAGGCUCAACCUGGGAACUGCCUUCUAGACUGCAAGUCUCGAGGUCAGGAGAGGCGAGUGGAAUUCCGAGUGUAGAGGUGAAAUUCGUAGAUAUUCGGAGGAACACCAGUGGCGAAGGCGACUCGCUGGACUGAUACUGACGCUGAGGUGCGAAAGCGUGGGGAGCAAACAGGAUUAGAAACCCCCGUAGUCC
rnacentral:rRNA from 1 species